CCCUUAGAUGUUCUGGGCCGCACGCGCGCUACACUGACGAAUGCAACGAGCUUAUAACCUUGGCCGAAAGGUCUGGGUAAUCUCCAAAUUUCGUCGUGAUGGGGAUAGAUUAUUGCAAUUAUUAAUCUUCAACGAGGAAUUCCUAGUAAGCGCAAGUCAUCAGCUUGCGUUGAUUACGUCCCUGCCCUUUGUACACACCGCCCGUCGCUCCUACCGAUUGAAUGGUCCGGUGAAGCGUUCGGACCGUGGCCUUUGGACGGUUCGCCGUCUGUUGGCUGCGGGAAGUUCGUUAAACCUUAUCAUUUAGAGGAAGGAGAAGUCGUAACA
rnacentral:rRNA from 1 species